AUACAGGGGGUGCGAGCGUUAAUCGGAAUUACUGGGCGUAAAGAGUACGUAGGCGGUUGCUUAAGUCAGAUGUGAAAGCCCCGGGCUCAACCUGGGAACUGCAUUUGAAACUGAGUGACUAGAGUUUAGGAGAGGGGAGUAGAAUUCCGGGUGUAGCGGUGAAAUGCGUAGAGAUCCGGAGGAAUACCAGUGGCGAAGGCGGCUCCCUUGCUUAAAACUGACGCCGAGGUACGAAAGCGUGGGUAGCAAACAGCAUUAGAAACCCCAGUAGUCC
rnacentral:rRNA from 1 species